UGAUUAGGUGCCAGGAGCUGAUCUACACUGCAAUGCCCAUCAAUGGGUCGCUGGCAAAGACCUCACCUCCAGCCUCACCUCUUGCCCGCUCAUCAUCGGUCGUCGAUGGGGAGAACAGAAUUAGAUGCAGAGAGACCUGGCACGCAACACAUCCACAAUGAGAUGGACUGGAGAUGUUUUUGCCAGACGGCAGCCUCAGUCGUUUGAUGUGGAGACCAUAAUUGGAUGCAUCGAUGUAGUCAGCACUUGGAGACUUGCAAGAUGAUGUGAUGAAGUCCAGACUGACAGACGGGCUUGAUACUGAUGUCUCUGAAUUGAGACACCUGGGCCCAGUUGCAUAAAACAACGGAGAGACUUAGCACUCGGCAUAACAUUUUUAAUAGACAACUUCUACUUGUAUUGUCUUUUUUUUAAAUUAUUGAGUUGAAUUGUAUCAGUCAA